rnacentral:lncRNA from 1 species
ACCUCAGCCUCUGUAACAGCGGCAUAGAAGGGCAGAAGUCUUGUUGGAGCCCAGCACCACAUAACACCAGGCAGAUUCCUGGUGGCACUCUCUAAGAACUACCCCUAAGCCUUCCAGAGAGAUCUCAGACCUGGAUUCUUGCCCUGGCAGUGUGACCCUGAGACACUCACAUACCUUCUCUUCUUGGCCUAUUUUUGUGCACUAAAGGUAAGAAAGAACGAUGUGGGUCGAGACCCUGGUACCUCCAGGGAGAGCCGCUAACCUAGCCUCAGAAGGGGAUCCACUGAAUUCUAAGUCAAUAGGGGAGCCAGGUGAGGUCAGCCUGAGGAAGAAGGACGAGUCAGAUCUGACUCCGGGACAAUGAAAAGAGAUGAAGGUUACAGGAAGAAGCAGAGGGGGAUAGGAAAGACAUGAGGGACUGUCACUCAUCAGCAAGAUGGGGCCAUCAAGUUGUCAUUCCAGGGCCAACUCAUCUUUCCUGUUGUCUCUCAGCAUAGCAAUGCCAGGAAAACCCCUCCGUCCCAGCCAGACGCCUCUACCUGGAAACCCAGGCGGCCAGGCUCAUUCACCCUUGCCCCUCAUUGUGCCUGGGCCGGAAGAGGAGGCACACGGAGAGUCAGGGACUUGCCCAAGGUCACGGAGCAGAAGUGUCCAGUCCCCAGGUGUCCCAGCACCCUGAGAGAGGGUCUCUCCAUGCUCUGCCCAAUUCAAAGAUGAUACAUCAGCAUGCCAACCGCAGCCCUGCUUUCCAGCAGCCUAGCAGAGCCCUGCCCGGGUGUCACAUCUAUUUCUGGGCUUGCUGUCCAGGGCCUGGGGUCUGAGUGUCAGAACCUAAAAAUAAAAAGACAGAUUGUC